AGUCUGCAAAAAUGCCAGCCAGCGGAUGGCUCGGCUCAAGCGCUGAUGAAGGACGUGCUAAGCUGCGAUAAG
rnacentral:rRNA from 1 species